GACGAACGCUGGCGGCGUGCUUAACACAUGCAAGUCGAACGGAAAGGCCCUGCUUUUGUGGGGUGCUCGAGUGGCGAACGGGUGAGUAACACGUGAGUAACCUGCCCUUGACUUUGGGAUAACUUCAGGAAACUGGGGCUAAUACCGGAUAGGAGCUCCUGCUGCAUGGUGGGGGUUGGAAAGUUUCGGCGGUUGGGGAUGGACUCGCGGCUUAUCAGCUUGUUGGUGGGGUAGUGGCUUACCAAGGCUUUGACGGGUAGCCGGCCUGAGAGGGUGACCGGCCACAUUGGGACUGAGAUACGGCCCAGACUCCUACGGGAGGCAGCAGUGGGGAAUAUUGCACAAUGGGCGGAAGCCUGAUGCAGCAACGCCGCGUGCGGGAUGACGGCCUUCGGGUUGUAAACCGCUUUCGCCUGUGACGAAGCGUGAGUGACGGUAAUGGGGAAAGAAGCACCGGCUAACUACG
rnacentral:rRNA from 1 species